UGGGGAAUAUUGCACAAUGGGCGCAAGCCUGAUGCAGCCAUGCCGCGUGUAUGAAGAAGGCCUUCGGGUUGUAAAGUACUUUCAGCGGGGAGGAAGGGAGUAAAGUUAAUACCUUUGCUCAUUGACGUUACCCGCAGAAGAAGCACCGGCUAACUCCGUGCCAGCAGCCGCGGUAAUACGGAGGGUGCAAGCGUUAAUCGGAAUUACUGGGCGUAAAGCGCACGCAGGCGGUUUGUUAAGUCAGAUGUGAAAUCCCCGGGCUCAACCUGGGAACUGCAUCUGAUACUGGCAAGCUUGAGUCUCGUAGAGGGGGGUAGAAUUCCAGGUGUAGCGGUGAAAUGCGUAGAGAUCUGGAGGAAUACCGGUGGCGAAGGCGGCCUCCUGGACGAAGACUGACGCUCAGGUGCGAAAGCGUGGGGAGCAAACAGG
rnacentral:rRNA from 1 species